rnacentral:rRNA from 1 species
UACGUAGGUGGCAAGCGUUGUCCGGAUUUACUGGGCGUAAAGCGAACGCAGGCGGAUCUUUAAGUAGGAAGUGAAAGGUUGCAGCUCAACUGUAACACUGCUCCCUAUACUGGAGGUCUUGAGUAGCGGAGAGGAAGAGGGAACGACACGUGUAGCGGUGAAAUGCGUUGAUAUGUGUCGGAACACCAAUGGCGAAAGCACUCUUCUGGACGCACACUGACGCUGAGGUUCGAAAGCCAAGGUAGCAAACAGG